GAAAUGCGAUAAGUAAUGUGAAUUGCAGAAUUCAGUGAAUCAUCGAAUCUUUGAACGCACAUUGCGCCCCCUGGCAUUCCGGGGGGCAUGCCUGUUCGAGCGUCUCCGGGAAGACACCUCACGCGAGUGAACGCGUGGUAAUGGCGGCGGCGGCGGGCCCGACAGGGCGGCCACCGCGCCGGAAUCCAGUGGGCGGACGCCUGCCGCGUGGCCGAGCGUGAUAUGACUCAUUGGCGCUCGCGCGCGGCGAGGCUGCCAGCCCCCCAGGCCCCUGCGUCGGGCGGGGAUAGCUAGACAUUGGAACUCCUCGAAUCAGGUAGGGAUACCCGCUGAACUUAA
rnacentral:misc_RNA from 1 species